GAUGAACGCUGGCGGCGUGCCUAAUACAUGCAAGUCGAGCGAACAGACGAGGAGCUUGCUCCUCUGACGUUAGCGGCGGACGGGUGAGUAACACGUGGAUAACCUACCUAUAAGACUGGGAUAACUUCGGGAAACCGGAGCUAAUACCGGAUAAUAUAUUGAACCGCAUGGUUCAAUAGUGAAAGACGGUUUUGCUGUCACUUAUAGAUGGAUCCGCGCCGCAUUAGCUAGUUGGGAAGGUAACGGCUUACCAAGGCAACGAUGCGUAGCCGACCUGAGAGGGGGAUCGGCCACACUGGAACUGAGACACGGUCCAGACUCCUACGGGAGGCAGCAGUAGGGAAUCUGCCGCAAUGGGCGAAAGCCUGACGGAGCAACGCCGCGUGAGAGAUGAAGGUCUUCGGAUCGUAAAACUCUGUUAUUAGGGAAGAACAAAUGUGUAAGUAACUAUGCACGUCUUGACGGUACCUAAUCAGAAAGCCACGGCUAACUACGUG
rnacentral:rRNA from 1 species